rnacentral:rRNA from 1 species
AACCUGUCUUAUGUGCCAGCACGUGAUGGUGGGGACGUCGUAAGAGACUGCCGGGGUCAACUCGGAGGAAGGUGGGGACGGACGUCAAGUCAUCAUGCCCCUUAUGUCCAGGGCUUCACACAUGCUACAAUGGCCAGUACAGAGGGCUGCGAGACCGUGAGGUGGAGCGAAUCCCUUAAAGCUGGUCUCAGUUCGGAUCGGGGUCUGCAACUCGACCCCGUGAAGUCGGAGUCGCUAGUAAUCGCAGAUCAGCCAAGCUGCGGUGAAUACGUUCCCGGGCCUU